AAUCGAUAUUAAACUCUAUGUAUUAGAGUCUAAUUGGUUCAUGAGAUAUGGGUUUGAGAUCUGGUCAUUGGUUCAUGAGAUUUGGGUAUUGGUUUAUGAGAUUUGGGUAUUGGUUCAUGGGAUAUGGGUAUUAGGUUGGAUGUAUGGUUCAUGGGAUUUGGUCCAUGAGGUUUAGUUGUGGUUCAUGGGAUUUGGUCCAUGAGGUUUGGUUUUGGCUCAUGGGAUUUGGUCCAUGAGAUUUGGUUUUGGCUCAUGGAAUUUGGCCCAUGAGAUUUGGUUUAUGGUUUAUGGAAUUUGAUCCAUGAGGUUUAGUUGUGGUUCAUGGGAUUUGGUCUAUGAACUUGGUUUUGGUUCAUGGGAUUUGGUCCAUGAGAUUUGGUUUUGGCUCAUGGGAUUUGGUCCAUGAGAUUUGGUUUUGGUUCAUAGAAUUUGGUCCAUGAACUUGGUUUUCGCUCAUGGGAUUUGGUCCAUGAGGUUUGGUUUUGGUUCAUGGGAUUUGGUCCAUGAGAUUUGAUUAUGGUUCAUGGGAUUUGGUCCAUGAGAUUUGGUUGGUUCAUGGAAUUUGGUCCAUGAGAUUUGGUUUUGGUUCAUGGGAUUUGGUCCAUGAGGUUUGGUUUUGGCUCAUGGGAUUUGGUCCAUGAGAUUUGGUUUUGG
rnacentral:lncRNA from 1 species